GAUGAACGCUGGCGGUGUGCCUAAUACAUGCAAGUCGAGCGGUAAGGCUUUCACAGAUUAUUUAAACGGUUAAGUCCCUAGGGAUACUAACAAGACAACACAUACUCACUAGGCUAGUGAACAGUGGUUGAAUAAUGUGUGAAAGUACACGAGCGGCGGACGGCUGAGUAACGCGUAGGAACGUACCCCAAAGUGAGGGAUAAGCACCGGAAACGGUGUCUAAUACCGCAUGUGAUCUAAGGAUUAAAGCCUUCGGGCGCUUUGGGAGCGGCCUGCGUAUGAUUAGUUUGUUGGUGAGGUAAUGGCUCACCAAGACUACGAUCAUUAGCUGGUCUGAGAGGAUGAUCAGCCAGACUGGGACUGAGACACGGCCCAGACUCCUACGGGAGGCAGCAGUAGGGAAUUUUCCACAAUGGGCGAAAGCCUGAUGGAGCAACACCGCGUGCAGGAUGAAGGCCCUAGGGUCGUAAACUGCUUUUAUGAGUGAUAAUU
rnacentral:rRNA from 1 species